UGCGAUUCCAUCACCAGGCGAGGAGGGGUGUAUGACAGGCUGUGGUUUGGGCCUGGGCAGGGGGCUUGAAGGGGGAGAGGUGUGUUAGGGAGGGUAUGAUGGGUCAUUGCUCGGGCUGCCGUCUAGGAGGAAGGCAAUAGUGGCCCCUCUUCAAAUCAACCUCCAAGAGAACAGUCCUGUGCUAUUGUGCUCACUAUGCAGUGCUGUUGAUCCCAAUGACUCCUGACUUCACCCUCACAAUGAUAGGAAUUUAGCUUUUGCUGAUGGAUACCUUUGCCCUACCCAUGGGGUUGAAAGAGGCUGCAUGGGAAUGAGGAUGCAUCAACACCCUGGAAAGAUGUUGGUGGUGCACUCACUCAUAACACUUUUUUGUGAUGAAUUAGUGUAUCGUCUUCAAGCUUGAUAAGAAGCAGUUACCAGGCAAAAAUACAAAUUGAGGCCUUCAAUCAAAAUGAGGACAGAGAAAUGUGUGUGCACAGGGUUAAUACUUCUUGCAUGCAUGUCCUUGAGAUUGCAUGCAUUCAACAAGCUUUGGACGAAGGAGUUCCACAGGUCUGCCAUCUCCAAUGUUUACUCAGAACAAGGCAGCAUGGCUGGCCCUUAAAUGUACAUGGAGAGCUAACAUUAAUAAUAUGCAUUUACUGUAAAUGGCUCAUAGUGAAGGAGAGAUUGACUUCAUCACUACUUGUUUUUAUAAGAAGUGUUGACAUAUUGAAUGUAGAAAGGUGUCUGUUUAAACUACUAGCUGCUUGGACACCCAUGCAUAUCCCAGAAGACAUGCCACCAAAGGUCUCUUCA